GACGAACGCUGGCGGCGUGCUUAACACAUGCAAGUCGAGCGGUAAGGCUCCUUCGGGAGUACACGAGCGGCGAACGGGUGAGUAACACGUGAGUAAUCUGCCCCGCACUUCGGGAUAAGCGCCGGAAACGGCGUCUAAUACCGAAUACGACCAGCCUUCGCAUGAGGUGCUGGUGGAAAGUCUUAUCGGUGCGGGAUGUGCUCGCGGCCUAUCAGCUUGUUGGUGAGGUAACGGCUCACCAAGGCUUCGACGGGUAGGCGGCCUGAGAGGGUGACCAGCCACACUAGGACUGAGACACGGCCCAGACUACUGCGGGAGGCAGCAGUGGGGAAUAUUGGACAAUGGGCGAAAGCCUGAUCCAGCAACGCCGCGUGAGGGAUGACGGCCUUCGGGUUGUAAACCUCUUUCAGUAUCGACGAAGCGCCUUUAAUGGUGGUGACGGUAGAUACAGAAGAAGGACCGGCCAACUACGUGCCAGCCGCCGCGGUAA
rnacentral:rRNA from 1 species